AGCAGCCGCGGUAAUUCCAGCUCCAAUAGCGUAUAUUAAAGUUGUUGCAGUUAAAAAGCUCGUAGUUGAAUUUCGGGAUUAGUACGCCGGUCGUGCCUUCGGUAUGCACUGGUGUCACUGAUUCCUCCCUUCUGAAGAACCGUUAUGCCAUUUAUUUGGUGUGGCGGGGAAUCAGGACUGUUACUUUGAAAAAUUGAGUGUUUAAAGCAGGCUCGCGCUUGAAUACAUUAGCAUGGAAUAAUGAAAUAGGACGUUUGAUCUUAUUUUGUUGGUUUCUAGGAUCGACGUAAUGAUUAAUAGGGAUAGUUGGGGGCAUUAGUAUUCAAUUGUCAGAGGUGAAAUUCUUGGAUUUAUUGAAGACUAACUACUGCGAAA
rnacentral:rRNA from 1 species